rnacentral:rRNA from 1 species
AGCGCAGGCGGGAAGACAAAUUGGAAGUGAAAUCCAUGGGCUCAACCCAUGAACUGCUUUCAAAACUGUUUUUCUUGAGUAGUGCAGAGGUAGGCGGAAUUCCCGGUGUAGCGGUGGAAUGCGUAGAUAUCGGGAGGAACACCAGUGGCGAAGGCGGCCUACUGGGCACCAACUGACGCUGAGGCUCGAAAGUGUGGGUAGCAAACA